CAGUCCAUCCGUCGCACCAUUUCCUUAUCGGCUCCCUCGACUGAGGUUUCUUCUUCUCUCCUGGGUUUUGGCCACAUGCAGAGAAGGUAUGGGUAUCUCUGCGAUUCCAUUCGAUUCGACCACGAAGGUGUUGUUCUGUUGGUUUCGUCUGUUCUGUCUCCCCAAGGUUCCUCUGUCUCUGUCUCUGUCUCUGGAUCAUACGUCAUUCUCCAUCUCCAUUUCUCUGUUUUGGAUAGCAGAUGUCACCACCGCGGUUCAAGAGGUAUAUGUGGUCUAUGGUUCCAUUCUCCUCCUUUUCAAUCGUUCUGGUUUCCUUCUCCAGUUUCAAUUUUUUUCUGUUAAUUGUUACUGUUUUCUUAAUCCAUCGUUUAAUUUUGAGUUGUUUGGUUUCUGAUUUAAUCAUGGUGAUUGUUACUUGUUUUUCUAAAUCAAUGGUUCUCUCCUAUGUUUGUGCUUUUGGUGUUUCGGGAAAAUAAUUUUCUUCUUGGGGGUUUUGCUGAUUAUAAUUUAUAUAAUUUUCUUUCUGCUAUUGGACUGAAGUUAACUGUAGUGUUAGGUAUUCUUGACUGAUGAAAUUCUAUUUUUGCUUUAUUGUGAAUUGUCAAAUCAACUAUAUGUGGUAGGUAUUUGGUAAUUUGUAACAGGCCUCUUCCCACAUUAUUUUUGCUCUUUUCCCAUGAGUAUUUGGUUACUUGUGAUAUCUUCCUAAAUGAUAUGUGUAGGGAUAUCAAUCUAUAUAUGCCUAUUAGUCUAUCUCUGUCCCAUAUGUGAAGCUUUCAUUGUAAGCUUUAGUGUUUGUUAACUUUGGGAGUUUAUAACUCCAACUCAUCUAUUUAUCUUCUCAUCUUAGUUCUGAAAUUUUCUCUGUAUAUUUUCUCCUUUUGGUGUUCUUAUCCUAUAUAUGUUGGGAAUGAAUAACCGUGUUGAUCUGGUGGAGAAAAUCACUCCCUGGAGAGAAUCAUGGAAAGUGCAUGUUAAAGUUGUGAAGUUGUGGUACCACAAGAAUCCUGCUUUGGAUGCUUCUCAAAAUCUGUUGCAUAUAGUCUUAAUGGAUGAGAAGUUACACAAGAUCCAAGCAACGAUUAGAGAUCAGCUUAUAUCAAAGUUUGCUGUGUCUCUAAAGGAAGGGGAUCUGUAUUUGAUGACCCAUUUUACAGUUGUACCAAACACUGGUUUAAACAGAGUGACCAAACAUCGGUUCAGACUUUUGUUCCAAUACAAGACCUCUGUUGUUUCGGUGGUAUCUCCAAAGAUACCUCAUUUCGGUUUGUGUUUUACAUCAAUAGAUGAAAUUGAUCAAAUGACAAAGGACCACAAUUUCCUCAUUGACUUUGUUGGGAUCAUUACUGGUGUUUGAAAAGAAAGAGAUGUAGCAUCAUAUGGGAAGCUGAUCAAAGCAGUUGUACUAGAAGUUUUUACUCAUGGCAAAAAGGUCCAAUGCAAUGUAUUUGGAAAUUCUUGUGAUCUGUUGGAAUAUGAUAACUUACAAAAAUAUCCAAGAUCUCCGAUGAUUGUCCUCGAGUCUUUUAAAAUCAAAGCAAUUGAAGGAUGCUCGUUACUUUGUUAUUGGGAUAAUUAAGGAAGUUAUGGAUGAACCAGAUUGGUGGUACUACUCAUGUGUAUGUGGUCAUGCCGUUGUUGACUAUGAGGAUCUCUUCCUUUGUGAUGCUUGUGGUUCAUGUGUUGAACAUGUUAUGGUCAAGGUGGUUUCGUUUUUAUUCUGGGAACUAUAUCAUCUGUUUUCAAGAAUCAUAAGUGGUGGUUCUCAACUUAUUUAUGUGGUUCUCUUGUGUCAGCUAAUAAACAAAUUUUAUCAUGUGAUCUAUGUCAGCUUCAAUGCAUUGAUGCUGUCCCAAGAUUCUGCUUGAAGAUUGUAGUGUCUCAUGCAAAUGACAACAAUAUAUUUGCUCUUAAAGAUCGUGAGGUUGUGCAACCAAUAAAGACAAGAUGCUCGAGCUUUUUGGAUAAUCACCCAGAGUUGAAUCAGGGAUCUUAUUGCAAAAUUGUUCCAUUGAAACUCAUUUCAAGUCUUUUGCACAAAAAAGUUGUAUUCAUGUGAUGCUAGGCCUGUGGGUUAUGAGAUGAAUCGAUCUGUGUAUAUUGUUCAACAAAUUUAGGAUGAUGCCUCCGUUAUUAAUGUUUUUGAGGCUGCUGCUGAGAUGAAUGAGCAUAAGAUUCAUGUUCUGGUUGAUUCUAUGCCUGAAGUUGAAGAUGCUUUUAGCCAAUAUGGAAGCGAUCAUGAGGCUGUGGAGAAUCUAGAUGCUUUUUAGUUUAAUAUGUUAAGAUACUACUUUAAGUUGUUGUUGUGGAUGAUCUUCAUGCUUUUUAGUUUAAUAUGCUCAGAUACUACUUUAAAUUGUUGUUUGAUUUGUAAUAUAA